rnacentral:lncRNA from 1 species
AGUGAUAAUGAGAGUGAUGUUGAAAUGAGGAUAACUUGGAAGUGACUCUAAUAUAUGUAAAAUUUAAGCAAUCUCAUUUUUCUAAUUUAUUAUGAGACACACUCAUAACUGAUAAUGAUACAAAGUACAUUUUGAUAAGAUUGUUGAGAAAAUGAAUUACUGCUUUAGAGUCCAGAUCCCAAUUCACCUACUCAUGUAUUAUUUCUGACUAUUGUGAUCUACCAUUUUACUAUAAAAUACCUAUUCCACUCUGAAUCACAUAACGCACAGCAUUUAUUCAGAAUAUGCACUGUUUCACAGUUUUCUAAUUAUUUCAUGUAUUUUCUUCCCAGCUGGAUAAGAAAUGCAUCGAAGAUAUUAAUCAGCUCAUAGCACAGAGGUUGUGGAUUUUCAAACCAAUCCCCUGUGGAUAACAACUGUCGCAGAGUAAGACCAUUUAAAGGGACCAAAAAUGGAUGAACAUACUUGGCACUAUGAACUAAAAGAUCUUUGGCUAAAGAAGAGAUGAAGACUCAUUCAACUCCUACAAGUGAAUUAAGGAGCUCUGAGAAGGCAAAGCCAGCCCAGGAGGGUGGACACACUAAGAACAAUGUGCCUUGUCCUGAUACACAGUUGUGGUAUAGGUAACAAAAUCUGAGUAUCCAACCUAAGAUGUUACCCCUCACCUCACCAGAAUACCUCCAAUCCCUUCCCUGGAAACACAGAAUAAAUUCCUAUAGAAAGUUAUAAAGCAGAAAAACAA